GAUUAGUGGCGGACGGGUGAGUAACACGUGGGAACGUGCCCUUUGGUUCGGAACAACUCAGGGAAACUUGAGCUAAUACCGGAUGUGCCCUUCGGGGGAAAGAUUUAUCGCCAUUGGAGCGGCCCGCGUCUGAUUAGCUAGUUGGUGAGGUAAAGGCUCACCAAGGCGACGAUCAGUAGCUGGUCUGAGAGGAUGAUCAGCCACAUUGGGACUGAGACACGGCCCAAACUCCUACGGGAGGCAGCAGUGGGGAAUCUUGCGCAAUGGGCGAAAGCCUGACGCAGCCAUGCCGCGUGAAUGAUGAAGGUCUUAGGAUUGUAAAAUUCUUUCACCGGGGACGAUAAUGACGGUACCCGGAGAAGAAGCCCCGGCUAACUUCGUGCCAGCAGCCGCGGUAAUACGAAGGGGGCUAGCGUUGCUCGGAAUUACUGGGCGUAAAGGGAGCGUAGGCGGACUGUUUAGUCAGAGGUGAAAGCCCAGGGCUCAACCUUGGAAUUGCCUUUGAUACUGGCAGUCUUGAGUACGGAAGAGGUAUGUGGAACUCCGAGUGUAGAGGUGAAAUUCGUAGAUAUUCGGAAGAACACCAGUGGCGAAGGCGACAUACUGGUCCGUUACUGACGCUGAGGCUCGAAAGCGUGGGGAGCAAACAGGAUUAGAUACCCUGGUAGUCCACGCUGUAAACGAUGAGUGCUAGUUGUCGGCAGGCAUGCCUGUCGGUGACGCAGCUAACGCAUUAAGCA
rnacentral:rRNA from 1 species